ACAGGGAAAAUUACAUUGGGGGUUUAGACCUUAUGCAAGGGCUUCAGUUACAGGGAAAGGCAUCUACACAGGGCCAUGGUUGUGCUACUCUUAUGCGUUUUCAGUCUGUUGACUUCAUAUACCAUAUUCACUUUAUUCUUAAGGCUCCAGUGCCUACCUUGAUAGCAAGCAGCAACUGUACAACUGUAUCACUCAAUCAGUCUCCUUUAUUGGCAUAAAAAAGUGUAACCUAUGGUGACGUACUUUCAUAGCGUCACUCAGAAAUCUUGCCAUAUAACUGUACAACUGAUCAUGUAAUAUUUCCUCAAAAUAAUAAGUUUUCACAGUGGUGAAUUGCUUAAUUGGCAAGUUUCUUGGAAGGUUCAUUUUUCCCCAGUGUUGUGAGCUUGUUUGGUCAUUGACUAGGAAGCAGAGUAAUUUGGAAUUAAUUAAUGUUCCUUUAAGAGCAAUAGGGAGUGUAGGUAGGAUAUUGAUAUUUAAAGGGGAGGGAGAGAAGGUUUGCAAAUAUUCUUGGCACCCAAGUAGCCCACACCUUUAACACAGUGCCAGUCUACCUUCAUUUUCCAUCUUUGAAUCCGUGAGAGCUAGAAGCUUGUCUGUCUUUUUAAGAAAAUGCUGGUAUUUUCAGAACUCAGAAAAAGAAGCCAUCCAUGUCUAAAAAGCUCUGUUAUGCAGCUUUCCCCCAUGAUAAUCAUACUUUGAUUCCCCAUGACUAAAGAAGUAGCCUGUAAAUAUUGGUGACAUUUGACUAACAGGUAAAUUAUCAACUGUAUGUUUCUUUCAUCACUGCAAAUCAGAACUGAAUGAUGAAAGGCCAAUACACCCAAUUUGUAACUCGUGACAUUGUGAUGCUCAGCAGAGCCCAAUGGUAAUUAGCAAAGCAAUGCAGCCGUUGGUGGCUGCCUUUUUGGCAGGAAAUAGGAUGAACCAGUUGCCCUUUCUGCAAGAGACUUUUCAUCCAUGCAUGAGAAGAACGCAUGUCCACUUAUAGUAUUCAUGAGCCUCUUUGUGUAAAACUCAAAAAGAGAAGAAAAUCAAGAAGCCAGGCCUUCUACAACUUGCCUUGUAAUCUUGUAGAAUCUAGUUUGGCUAAGAGAAAAGGGCAAACCUCUUCUUCUUUUUGGUGUCCUGCUCAACUUAUGAUGAAGGACUAGCAAUGGAAGAUCUGGCCAUUGCUAUGUGGAUGUGCACAAUGAAGCCAGGAGGCUUUCCUCUCAAUAAACUUCAUUUAAUUUAAUGAGAGCAAUGUGAGAACAAAGAGUGGCUCUUGCAGAACUCCCUUUCCCUCCAGUCGGAGGGAAACUGCUUUGCUAGCUUGGGCCCUUAAUAUGCUGCUGGAAGUCUCCUUGCUGAGUAGCUAUUACUUGACAUUAGUUGUGGCAAUUGGCAACUUCAAGGUGGUGCCUCUUCCUGGGCAACUGCCAAGGUCCAAAUCUUGAUGGUCCCCGCCAGGAAGAAGAUGCAUCCUGGUUCCUAAACUGCCUCUGCCUAGAGCGCUUUGGACCAGUUGGUGCCCCUAAAGCCAAACAUCUAGGUUUGGGGAUUUCUUUUUCUUUUUCCUUGUCUUUUCCCCCUUCCUUGCAAUCUGCCACUUUGAGUUAGAGGUGAGGGGGGAAACCAGCAACCACAGGGCUGUGUAGCCCCAGUCAUCCCUCUCCCUUCUGCCCCCAGCAUUCUCCAUAGUGACUGGGAAAAAGGUGGAUGCCAGUUGGCUGUUUCCUGGCACCGUUGGCAAUGAAGGAGCACAAUGAUGGCUAGCCUCUGGCAUGGAUAGCAGGCUUGAGACACAGUGGCAGGAGCAAGAGCACAGAGGAGGCAAGCAAAAACCCACAGGCUGUGCACCUAAAUGUCACAAAUUGUCCCAACUCUCUCACUUAUUCAGGCAGAGUAGGAGGAAGACAGGAUUUUUCAUACCAUGGCCCAUAGCAUGGAACAGGUUGCAUCCAAUAAAAUGGAGGAGGAAGGCCAGCCAGCGUCCUCCAUGCCAGGCAUGAGAUUAGUGCCAAACUCCUAAGAGAUGCCCAGAGAUGAGUAAAUUAAAUCCUCCCUACUCCCAAUUCCCACUUUCUCCCUCCAUAACAAUGGAUCGGGUGCAGGGGCAGAUUGCCCAGGGAACUGAAGAAGCCCAGGUAGGGGGAAAGAGACAGCACUCCCUACAACAGAAGGUGGUCUUUCCCCAAAGAAACAGAAGAGGAAGAGAAGCAAACACAGCUGCAAGGAAGGCUCAAAACAAGCAGAGAAAGAUGACAGAUCCUGCUGCAGGGACUCUUCCUCUGCCUCCCAGGCUUCUUUGCCAUCAUCCUCCCUCUUCUUCCUCCCAGUACCAAGACACCCGAGUCAAAAGCUACGUCAGCUGGCCCAUAAAGACACAGG